rnacentral:misc_RNA from 1 species
AAGUCGUAACAAGGUUUCCGUAGGUGAACCUGCGGAAGGAUCAUUAGUUAAUAUUAGGGUGCUUACUUUACUGUAAGGCCCGAACUCUACUAUCCAACACUGUGAACUUUUGUAAUGUGAAUUAGACAGUAAUGUUUAAUUCGCAUUUUACUUAUAAACACUAGUAAAAGAAUGUAUUAAAAACAUAAUAAAAAAAAAACUUUCAACAACGGAUCUCUUGGCUCUC